GGCCUCACCCCACGGUGAAAAACAAACGACAGGCGGGCAGUGCCGGUAGACGGGUUUAUCCCGGCCGACAGCAACGAAGCCGGAAGAAUUGCAGACCA
rnacentral:sRNA from 19 species